rnacentral:rRNA from 1 species
GUUAGGAAUAUUGGACAAUGGGCGCAAGCCUGAUCCAGCCAUGCCGCGUGAGUGAUGAAGGCCUUCGGGUUGUAAAGCUCUUUAGCCGAUGAUUAUAAUGACUGUAGUCGGAAAAUAAGCCCCGGCUAACUUCGUGCCAGCAGCCGCGGUAAUACGAAGGGGGCGAGCGUUAUUCGGAAUCACUGGGCGUAAAGCGUGCGUAGGCGGCUUUGCAAGUUGGGAGUGAAAGCCCAGGGCUCAACCCUGGAAUUGCUCUCAAAACUGCAAGGCUCGAAUUCGGGAGAGGAUAGCGGAAUUGUCAGUGUAGCAGUGAAAUGCGUAGAUAUUGACAGGAACACCAGUGGCGUAAGCGGCUAUCUGGACCGACAUUGACGCUGAGGCACGAAAGCGUGGGGAUCAAACAGGAUUAGAAACCCCUGUAGUCC